ACUGAAUCGCACUCAGGUUUGCAGAUAGAAGUUUAACUUUCUGCUCUGAAAACUCCUGCAAUGAGAAACAAAGUGCAAUGCUGACUCACUUCUAUUCUCAGGAUCUUACUGGUGGGAGAGAUAUCCUACACCACCGGACUGAGGAGGGGCCGUGCUGUCUGGCAUUCAGAGCACUAAGGGACAAGAGGGCAAUUCUGGGUGCAGCACUCAGCCCCAAGAACACAAAGAGACUAAGGGCAAGAGAGUUAGCAGUGGAAGCAAGGGUGAGCAGCA